GACGUAGGGGGCGAGCGUUGUCCGGAUUUAUUGGGCGUAAAGGGCGCGUAGGCGGCCAUUCAAGUCAGAGGUGAAAGCCCAAGGCUCAACCUUGGAACUGCCUUUGAUACUGUUUGGCUUGAGACCGGUAGAGGUAAGUGGAACUGCGAGUGUAGAGGUGAAAUUCGUAGAUAUUCGCAAGAACACCAGUGGCGAAGGCGGCUUACUGGACCGGUUCUGACGCUGAGGAGCGAAAGCGUGGGGAGCAAACAGG
rnacentral:rRNA from 1 species